AAACACGGUAACCAUAAAAAAGGAGGCAACCGAAAACGUAACACGUGAGUAACCUGCCCCGUGACUCUGGGAUAACACGUUGGAAACAGACUGCUAAUACCGGAUAUGUCCUUCGAAGGCAUCUUCGUUGGUGGAAAGAACUUCGGUUGGGGAUGGGCUCGCGGCCUAUCAGCUUGUUGGUGAGGUAACGGCUCACCAAGGCGACGACGGGUAGCCGGCCUGAGAGGGUGACCGGCCACACUGGGACUGAGACACGGCCCAGACUCCUACGGGAGGCAGCAGUGGGGAAUAUUGCACAAUGGGCGCAAGCCUGAUGCAGCAACGCCGCGUGAGGGACGACGGCCUUCGGGUUGUAAACCUCUUUUGGCAGGGAAGAAGCGAAAGUGACGGUACCUGCAGAAAAAGCACCGGCUAACUACGUGCCAGCAGCCGCGGUAAUACGUAGGGUGCAAGCGUUGUCCGGAAUUAUUGGGCGUAAAGAGCUCGUAGGCGGUCUGUCGCGUCUGCUGUGAAAACGCGAGGCUCAACCUCGCGCCUGCAGUGGGUACGGGCAGACUAGAGUGUGGUAGGGGAGAUUGGAAUUCCUGGUGUAGCGGUGGAAUGCGCAGAUA
rnacentral:rRNA from 1 species